GGGAGGAGCCUCGAGGAGCCCAUCCCUUCGGCAGGUGGUGGGGGCCCGGAUCUGGGUCUACGCCGCCCCACCUCCCUCCUGGCCACACCGCUGCGGAGAAGGUGCCGCACCUGCGCGACCGCUGCCUGGCCGGUCUAGAGCCCACCGCGGUGGAGCGUCAGCCCUCCUGAGUGGCGGUUCCUGUGGGCGGGACGCCUGGGUUGCCAUGGAGACCGAGAGCCCAGCCCCGCGGAGCCCCG
rnacentral:lncRNA from 1 species